UCCGGUUUGUCACCGGCAAUCCCAUUAGAAUACCCAACUUAAUGUAACAACUAAUAGCAAGGGUUGCGCUCGUUGCGGGACUUAACCCAACAUCUCACGACACGAGCUGACGACAGCCAUGCAGCACCUGUGUCUAGGUUCCCUUUCGAGCACACUCACAUCUCUGCGAGCUUCCUAGCAUAUCAAGGGUAAAUAAGGUUUUUCGCGUUGCAUCGAAUUAAUCCACAUAAUCCACCGCUUGUGCGGAUCCCCGUCAAUUCCUUUGAGUUUUAACCUUGCGGCCGUACUCCCCAGGCGAUCAACUUCACGCGUUAGCUUCGUUACCAAGGAAUUGCUUCCCCGACAACCAGUUGACAUAGUUUAGGGCGUGGACUAC
rnacentral:misc_RNA from 1 species